CGAAGCCAUUUGUUUUAUGCAGAAAUACUGCCGUCUACAAGUUCAUUUAAUGAUGUUGAAAGUUUCUUGGAUUAAGAUUUGACUGAAAAGGGGCAAUAUAGAAGAGGCAGUAGUUGACUUGAUGCAUAUCUUCGCUUUGCCUUGUCAUAGACCAGACUGUUUUCAAUGUUUAGAAUAUAUGGGAAGGGAAGCUAAAAUGAAAAUAUUCUCUGGAUCCCAAAAUAAUGCUAUUUUCUAAUGGGGUGUAAUAUUGGUAUUGAUAAAUAUUUGGCUAUUUCUUUCUGAUGAUGAAAGUAAUGCAUAUUCAUGUAUCUGUGUUACAGGUCAUUGUCACAAGUCACAAGUGGCUCCGGUCUGGUUUGGGGGUCUACCCUAGCUCAUCCUGUCCUGCCACCCACACAAAAAGAGAAAUAACUACAGGCCUCUGCAACUGCUGUCUCUAGGAACGGUACGCAAGUGUCCAGUGACAGCCCAGGCAACGGAUACCGUAGCGACAUUCACCAAUGUGCUGGCGCAUGACCGAGAAGGGGGGACGUCGCAAACGCCAGUGUGAAGGAGCAAGCUAGAUUCAUUGAUGAUCAUCAUGUUUUGAAUAAAGUUUUUUUGGAAAAAAAAGUAAACAUUUUCUUCGAUUCUGAUUAGGGUUAUUGGGGUAUUGGACUAUGUUAGUCGCUGGGUAAUUUUCUUAGCCUUGUUUUAAAGACACCAAGCGAGAAUGUUAGAUUGUUAA